rnacentral:rRNA from 1 species
CAGCCGCCGCUGUAAUACCGGCGGCCCGAGUGGCGGUCACUAUUAUUGGGCUUAAAACGUCCGUAGCCGGGUUGGGAAGGCCUCCGGGAAAUCUGGCCGCUUAACGGUCAGAAUUCCGGGAGAUACUCCCAGCCUAGGGAGCGGGGGAGGCCGAGGGGAUUCCCGGAGUAGGGGGGAAAUCCUAUAAUCCCGGGAGGACCACCUGUGGCGAAGGCGCUCGGCUGGCACGCGUCCGACGGUGAGGGACGAAGGCCAGGGGAGCAAACCGGAUUAGAUACCCGGGUAGUCCUGGCUGUAAACGAUGCGGACUUUGUGUCGGACAAGCUAUGAGCUUGUCCGGUGCCGGAGGGAAACCGUUAAGUCCGCCGCCUGGGGAGUACGGCCGCAAGGCUGAAACUUAAAGGAAUUGGCGGG